AUUACACUGGAACUGCAGUAGCACCUGUAACAGGUGAAUUUUCAAGCAAUUUCCUACUCUAAACUCACAUUUUUGAGGUUUCCAGAAAUAUUUAUGCUUUGGCUUAACAGUUUAAGCAUAGUCCCAAAGCUGCCUUGUUGAUUUAAGUGGAUGCUGUUAAUAUUAUUUCUGUGCUGUGUGUGGGUAAGAAGCCCUGAGUAGACCCAGAAGUUGGCAGGCUGGGGUGAGGCCACAGUGAAGGACUCUGGAGAGCCAGCCUGUGGAUUAAUAGAGCAAGAGUCGCCCUUGGCAAAGCCAACAAUUGUUGAGUGAUAUAUGAACUAGACAAGUAAGAAGCAAAAUCAUUAUUUUCACUAUUUCAAGUCAAAUACAGUUCAGCAGGAAUAAACCAACAUGCAGAGGUCAGGCUGUCUGAGAGAUGAUGGGAGCCCCACCCUCAGCAACUGGACACUUACACACAUGCUAUCUUGGCUGUGCUAGUCACUUCUGCUAGGACACCUUGUGUUGCAUCCUGGGGUAGAGAACAAAAGCAAACGCUGCAACCUUGGAACAGAUUUUUUUGGAAAGAACUGGAAAAAGGAGGGGCUGCAACUGCCAUAAAUGCCUGCUUCACCUUACAGAUUAUCCUGAAACAACAGCUGGCAGACGUGCUGACAAAAGCAGCCCUGUCUCAGGAAAGACUUCUCUCCAGAAAAGAUUGAGAUCUCAAAAUUCAAUUUUCAAAUAAUUUUAAAAGCUCACAAAGAGCAGAAAACAUCAGCCUUUGUGGUGCAGAAGUGCAGGGUCUCAGAACAGAGGUGACUUGACCAUGGCACAUAUUGAUUUUGAUGUCUAUGAAUUCUCCAGGCCCCAAAGAUCCACGCAGUUUAGACAUGAGUUGCCAGACGUGAGCUGGUACAUGGUGGGACACCAGCUGCUUCGCUGUCCAUCACCAGUUGUGAUGUCCUGUUGUGAAAAUACCUUCUCACCGAGCCACGCGUGUGCUCUUACAGUGCACAUUAAACAAUUCAUGCUGG